CAAGUAAUGCAGCAAAAAAAAAACAGAUCGCUCCCUAAAAUCUGAUUGGAUGUGGCCACAAUGGGGGUUGUUGCUACAAACUUUUGAGCUCUGUUUCCAUGGCGAUAAGCUCUGACAUCUCUGGUCCUGAUUGGGGUGGGGGAUUAUUUGGACGGAGGAACAUGUGCCCUCUUUCAGACCGUCCAGGUUAAAACCAAAACAAAAAUCCAGCCUCAUGCUUCUACAGGCGAAACUGGUGAACUCGUGUGACCUCGUCCUGGAGGGGCGGGGGAGCCGUUUAACCCACCCACGCACACACCACCCAUCCUCAGUGACGCAUCAGCCCAAAGGGAUAUUUCCUUUUAGAUAAUUGGACUCCAAUACCUGGAUAAUUAGGCGAGCGAGGGUUUGCGAUGGAGGCCGUCGCAGCAUCCUCGUUAAGCCUGCAGGUUCAUUUGAGUUCAGCUCAGAGACCAGCAGGGGUGCUAGACACAGGAGAGGGAGGGGGGAGCUGUGUUUGGAGAUGAAGAACUGAAAUGACCCCGACGUUGAGAAAAAGGCAGCGAUGGAGAAGAUCUGUUUGUGUCGGCUGUGUGAGCUCUCUGUUCAGGUUUGACAUCUCACACUUCCUCUACACACAGAUGCCUUUAGCAUUAAAGGCGGGUGAGUUUGGCGGCCGAUCACAUGAUGGUUACUAAACCAGGAACUGGUGCUUUCAGCCAUUAAGCUGUAAAAUAAAAGGAAGCAUGUUUGUUUAAUGAGGUACAAAAGUAUUUGUCAGUAAGCGAUUCUGCAAGUUAAAAAGUUGAGCAAGAAUUGUGUCCUUCACAAAACCCACUCCAUUGAAAAUUGUGGGUUUUUUGUAUUUUCUUGUAGGAUUUGCUCAUUGAGGACAUGUAUCAAGAAAAUUAAGAUUAAAAUUGUGUUUCUGAGUAUUUACUUAUUCAAAUUGUGGUGAAUCAAAAUCAGAUAAAAAAUGCUGUUUGUAAAAGCUUGUAGUUGUUAAGUACAAACUACAAUUGGCAAGUCACACGCUUCCUGUUUCCCUUCAUUUUGAUCAUCCACUUGCAGAAAAACAGAUCCAUGCGCGUCUUUGUUUUCCUCGUCUGAGCUGGAAUCUGGAUCAAAGCCGUACAGUUUGAUAGCUCUGAUCUACCCCACCAUUUCUGUUGCACCGGUAAUUUUAGGUUGGGGGUGUGAGGGGC